rnacentral:lncRNA from 1 species
CGCGCCGCCCGCUCCCCCGCACGCCUCCACCAGCUCCGGGAACCGAGGGGUGGGCGCCCUCCUCGCCGGAGUUAGGGCCCCUCCCUUGGUCUAAACCCCUCCGCAAACAGGUGGUGUCGGCCUGAUGCAUCCUGGAGAGCUCUAGCAAUGACUUUUCCACAGCCUUCCUCUGAGCCUGCAAGAGUCUUUCCUGUUGCAGUUUUCGGAUAAUUUAUAUUUGGCUUUUUCACUUUCAGUCCUCUCUUAUAAAACCUAAAUAAUCUGAAAGAACCUGACUCUGGCAGAAUUAGGAAUUCCUAAUUUUACAGUGUUUUGGUUUUGCGCUGUUUCCUGGAUGCCUUUUCACCUUUCUUCCUUGAAAAGUGGAUAGAGGCUGGACCAUGCCCCUAACUCCCCAUUCCUAUCAGAGAGACUGCCAUCUUCUCUUGCCCCUUUUGUAAACCUUAUGUCAACUUCUAAUAUUUUAAGUUUUCCAGCUUAAACGUUAGUGCUUUCUUAAACUGACCUUAAGUAUACAUGUUAACUAGUGGGGUAUGUACAUUUAUUGUAAUCGUUGUUUAGUUGGGUUUUUUGUUUUUGCUUCUUGUUUGUUUGGGUUGGGUGGGGAGAAAGACUUUCCUAGCAUCUGAAAUUGUUUUACUUAAAUAUCUACCUACAUCUUUUCUUGUAAAACCUAUCUUUAUUCUCUUAUACUGGGCUCUGCUCUUUAUUGUACAGCUCAUAGUCACUUCCUGCUUCAGCCUCCAAACUGAGCCUUCUAAAUUUGAGGACAUACCUGCCCAGGGGAUGCCAACCCAUUUUGGUCAGUUUCUACAGCAGCAUAAAUUAGGGUUCUCGGAGCCAUUCAGAAAUUGAGCCCUCAUCUGGCAAAUACAAUCCUCCCAGGGAAACUCAGAAACAAAAAUAAUAUGCACAGAAGAAAAAUAUGUAAAAUAUUUUUUAAACAUACAUUUGGACAAGGAUUGGAAGAUAUAUGUAAAAUUAAAAUAUCAAGAUGGUGGAGUUAUGGAUGUACUUCUUUUUGAAAAUGUGGAUAUUAUAUUUUUAAGGUUAAAAAAAUGAAACAUGUUAAGAAAUGUUAAUAACUUUUAACAAGAAUAUCCUGAAAGGAUAAAUUUUGAUUAUGAAGUAGAGAUGCCUCAACUUUGCUCACUACUUCCAACUUGCUAGAAUUCCCUACCAGAUCUCUAAUGGCAAGAAAUAAAUGAUAUGACAGUAGAGUUUUUCAUAUUAAUAACAAAUUUAAAUUUCCAACUAUGAUAUCACGAGGCUCAUUCUCAUUCUUUUAAACUCCAGGGUAAGGACUAGAGUUUCUUUUUUCCAUCCAAUUCAAUCCCUCACCCUCUCUUGUACAUAUUCCUGCAGUCUAAUCCAGUCCUAAGCAGGGUAUAAGAGUAAGCAAUAUAAGAAGAAAAACAAGGAAGCGGUCAAGUGAUAGGAGCUACUGAGAGCAACUCUUCAUGUCACCAUAAUCCCAGAUAUAAAUAUAGAGGCAGAAUAUUUAUCCUUUAAAUAAAUAUCCUUUAAAUAACCUAAUAAUCUGAGCUUAAAGCUCUGAUAAAGCAAGUUAUCUGAUAUAUUUAUCGCAUCAAUUUAACAACUAUUUACCAAGUACCUACACUUUGUAAGGCACCAGGUUUAAGGUUAAACCAAAAAAAAAAAAAUGACCCCUGACCCCAAAUAAGUUCCAAUUGCAUAUGGGCUAUAUCUGUGCUAUCAUAAAUAAGCAGAUAGAGUUCUGCCUCUUUGUCACCUAAGGAUACUUCUGCCUUGCCAGGCAAGAGCUACUGAGUCAUUAAGA